GUUUUCGUAGUGUAGCGGUUAUCACGUGCGCCUCACACGCGCAAGGUCCCCGGUUCGACCCCGGGCGAAAACU
rnacentral:tRNA from 1 species